AUUUAUUAAUACAUAAGUGUUUGAAAAUACUAAUGUUUCAUGCCAAGAAAAGGGUGGAGCUAAAUUAUCGCCAACCCUUAUGUCAUAAUAUUAUUCAAUAAAGUAAUUGUAUAAUUAUAAUCUUAAAAAUAAUACUAAGCUAUAGGUAUAUAAGUAUAUGAUUAAUUGAUUAAGUUGUUCAUAGCGAAUAGUCAACAUGAGAGGAGGUUUUGGGGAGGAGGUGGGUCAACUUUGAAUGAUGUCUUUCUCAGCAGUUGUAGUCGAUACUGACGAUUGGCAGUGUAGAUGUCCAUUAUAUAAGGUUUGCACCACUCCUCUCACCCACAUUGCGUGACAAUAUGCAUGCUCUAUUUUAGAUAUGGCGGCGCCAAGCUUAUAGUAUUAGUAAAUUCCCUUAACGGCUUAACACCUUCCUAAUAAUUCUAGUUUCCUGGUUAUUAAACUACUUUAGAUAAAGUAGAUUUUACUUUGAUAAAUCAUAUUACAUAAAUUCCUUAUUUUCUUCGCAAAUAUUCAGUUUUAUGUAAUGUGAUUUAUGUAUUAUAAAUUACCGACUGCCCUGUAGCAACCGCAUGUGCACGCAUUCAUUCUCCGAAGCUUUGUUUUCUUGGCAUUCGACAAACAUUAAAGAUAGCACACUUUUGGGAUAAUUUGGCUAGGAGUAACAAUCCUCCUAGCCGAUUUAUUUAAGUAAACAAAACAAUAUUUAUUAAUAUGUAUAUGUUUGAAAAUAGUAAUGUUUUGGAUAAUUUGGCUAGGAGUAACCAUCCUCCUAGCCGAUUCAUUUCAGUAAAUAAAACAAUAUUUAUUAAUACAUAAGUGUUUGAAAAUACUAAUGUUUCAUGCCAAGAAAAGGGUGGAGCUAAAUUAUCGCCAAAUCAUCGAGGUGAAACCGAGAUGAACCCCACCCCAAGGAGACUGAAUGCGUGCACUAAUAAUC